rnacentral:lncRNA from 1 species
GAUCAGAUGAAAUUGCUAAACACUAUAGGCAGUUAUUAGCAAUAUACGCCAUAAGGCCCAAAUAGCCAGAGAAAAUAAAAGGAACGUAAACUUUAUUUUUUGUCUCCAUGAUUAUCUUAAAAGGUAUAAAAACAGGAAAUAAUUUUCAGUGGCCACGGUGGAAUAACUAGAAACAGACUUUUCAACCCACAAUAACAGCCAGAACAGUGAACAAAAAAAUAUAAAACUCUUUUUAGAUAUUGGAUAAUAAGCAGUGUAGGACUGUGAUUUCUGAGAUGCAAAAGAAAUGAAGUGAGACCUAACACUGCCCUGGCUUUCUGCCUAGAGGCAUUUUUCAGACUGUGGUGAAGGGAGAAAGAACUCAAGCAGAGCUUGGAAGUGGGCCAGAGAAGUGGAAGCUAAGCAUAUAAAAUUCCAGAAAUCUGCAGAAGGAUUCACUUGAGUCUGUGGCCAAGCCCAGCACACAGACUAACUUCAAAAGGGUCUCACUCUGUUGCUCAGGCUGGAGUGCAGUGGCACAAUCACAACUCACUGCAGUCUCCACCUCCCUUGCUCAAGUCAUCCUUCCGCCUCAGCCUCCUGAGUAGCUGGGACUACAGACAUGCACCACCACAACUGGGUCUGCUGGAGUUUGCUGGAGGUCCACUCCAGACCCUGUUUGCCUGGGUGUCACCAGCAGAGGCUGUAGAACAGCAAAGAUUGCUACCUGCUCCUUCCUCUGGAAGCUUCAUCCCAGAGGAGCACCUGCCAAAUGCCAGCUGAACCUCUCCUGUAUGAGGCGUCUGUCAACCCCUGCUGGUGAGAGGUGAAGCCAGCUGGACUUCCUGGGUCGAGUGGGGACUUGGAAAACGUUUGCGUCUAGCUAAAGGAUUGUAAAUGCACUCUGUAAAAACACACCAAUCAGCACUCUAUGUCUAGCUAAAGGAUUAUAAAUGCACCAAUCAGCACUCUGAAAAAAGCACCAAUCAGAGCUCUGUGUCUAGCUAAAGGAUUGUAAAUGCACCAACCAGCAUUCUGUAAAAUGGACCAAUCAGCAGGACAUGGGCAGGGACAAAUAAGGGAAUAAAAGCUGGCCACCCCAGCCAGCAGUCGCAACCCGCUUGGGUCCCCUUCCACGAUGUGGACACUUUGUUCUUUCGCUCUUCAUAAUAAAUCUUGCUGCUGCUCA